AGGACGAACGCUGGCGGCGUGCUUAACACAUGCAAGUCGAGCGGAAAGGCCCUUCGGGGUACUCGAGCGGCGAACGGGUGAGUAACACGUGAGCAACCUGCCCUUAGCUCUGGGAUAGCUCCGGGAAACCGGAAUUAAUACCGGAUACGACCUAGGCCGACAUCGGCCGUGGUGGAAAGUUUUUCGGCUAGGGAUGGACUCGCGGCCUAUCAGCUAGUUGGUGGGGUAAAGGCCUACCAAGGCGACGACGGGUAGCCGGCCUGAGAGGGCGACCGGCCACACUGGGACUGAGACACGGCCCAGACUCCUACGGGAGGCAGCAGUGGGGAAUCUUGCGCAAUGGGCGAAAGCCUGACGCAGCGACGCCGCGUGGGGGAUGAAGGCCUUCGGGUUGUAAACCCGUUUCAGCAGGGACGAAGCGAAAGUGACGGUACCUGCAGAAGAAGCGCCGGCUAACUACGUGCCAGCAGCCGC
rnacentral:rRNA from 1 species